rnacentral:rRNA from 1 species
UACGUAGGGUGCAGGCGUUAAUCGGAAUUACUGGGCGUAAAGCGUGCGCAGGCGGUUUGUUAAGUCAGAUGUGAAAUCCCCGGGCUUAACCUGGGAACUGCGUUUGAAACGGGGGGGCUGGAGUGUGGCAGAGGGGGGUGGAAUUCCAGGUGUAGCAGUGAAAUGCGUAGAGAUCUGGAGGAACACCGGUGGCGAAGGCAGCCCCCUGGGCUAACACUGACGCUCAUGCACGAAAGCGUGGGGAGCAAACAGG